rnacentral:rRNA from 1 species
GGAUUAGAUACCCUGGUAGUCCACGCCGUAAACGAUGUGCACUAGGUAUGAGAGGUUCUGACACCUGUCGUGCCGUAGGAAAACUGAUAAGUGCACCGCCUGGGGAGUACGGCCGCAAGGCUAAAACUCAAAGGAAUUGACGGGGGCUCACACAAGCGGUGGAGCAUGUGGAUUAAUUCGAAGCAACGCGAAGAACCCUACCCGGGUUUGACAUGUAUGGAUGCCCUUUUGGAAACAAGAGUAAGCUGUCUUCGGAUGAAACAUACACAGGUGCUGCAUGGCUGUCGUCAGCUCGUGCCG